AAGCUGCCUGGUUUUGUAAAGGCUAGCGAAAAUACAACUCAGUGAGGCGUCGAAAUAAAAAAAAAUUGUCGAGGAAAAUUUUUUAUUUAUUUUUUUUUCCUCUGUGCCUCGUGUCAUCACAGUGUAGAGGUGCUGCGGUGAAGCCUUGGCGCCAUUUUCAAACUACAGAGCCCGAGUGAAUGGAACUCUUGUUAUACCUAAAAUUGUGAUUUUGCGCUUUUUUAUUUUUAUUUUUUAAUCUUCUCAUCGGUCAUUAUUUUACACUUUGCAGUGAUUAUAUUGACUCCAAGGACAAGAUUAAAGGGAGAAAAAGGUGCAGAAUUGACUUCAGAGGACGAUUGGUGUUCAGUGAGUUCCUUUUGGGAUUAUCAGCCACCUUCACCUCUCCUCUGUUGCUCGAGAGGGUGAAGAAAAAGGGCCGAGGUUUAUGGUUGUGAGCAGAGAGCCAGGUUCAACGGGACAGGAGAGGCAGGUCACUGGAGUUCAUGAUGAGACUUGAGUCAAGAUUCAGACUUUCUGUAAGAUAAAAACGUGGAAGAAAAGAUUCUUAACAUUCGUUUCAAUGAACAUGGCCAACAACACACUCACUCAGAUUGAAGGUGCCAUUGUUAUCAAGUCUAAUUGCAUUGACAUUACAUGAGUGACAUCUGUAAGACCUGUAAAGGUGAAUGUUCAAAAUAUCCAAAACAAGUGUAUUUUGUCUUUUUAUUCCAUUAUAUUCUUUAGACCUAGCAUUGUCUUGAGCAGUGGUUCUCAACAUGGGGUCGAGGGACAGCCCAACAUCCGUGGUUUUAUUUAUAAUUUCCAUUCUGUUACAGUGGUGCAAGUCACAACCCUACAUUAUUAAAGUUAUGUUUAGUGGCCCAAGCACCAAGUCAACCAGGAUUUGAAUCUGGAAGUUUCAGGAAUAGAAAGCUCUCUUGCUCAAAAAAUUGAUUUAAAAAAAAAAAAAAAGGUCAUGGAAUAAAUCCAUUCCUCCAAGCUUGAGGGAGGGUCCAUGGAAUUUAUUUUACAGUUUAAGGGGUCACUGGCUGCAAAAGGUUUGGGAACCAUUGAACUUGGAAGACUACAGUAUGGAUGCAGACCCAGCAAAGUAGUUCAGUGGAUCAAACCAAGAACUGGACUGAAGGCUCAUCAAGAAACAUUUCACAGACUUUCACUGAUUCCUCCCCUCCAUGGUCUGAUUAGUGAAUAGAUGGAAGUAUGUGUUUAUUCUCCUAACACAAGUUCAAAACUGAUGUGUCUCAUCUGUUUGGAGUCUGUGGCAUUAGUUAAGAGAUGUGAAGUGUGAUGCAUAAAACAAAACCAAAAAAGCCUGCUUCAAAACAAUUGGUCUUAUUUCUGUUCCUGAACAUGAACAAAUCAAUAAUGGCUUAACAUGAAAUGGUAACUGAUUGCAUUCAGUUAUGUUAGUGGCUUAGUAAGCAAGGAAUUUUAUCGAGCAGGACCUUCAGAAAUUUAGGGAUCGAUCGAUCGAUAGAUAGUCCAUCUCAGAAACUGGUCUCUCAUUUGGGACAUUAUGGUCAAAAAAUAAAUUUAAUUUGACUUUUUUUGCAUUUACCUAACACUCAAUGUUUCUUUUGUCAUGUUUAAUAAGAAUAAAGAUAGUAUCUUGCUUUA